UGGGGAUAUAGUUCAGUGGUAGAACACUUGAAUAGCAUUCAUGAGGCCCUGGGUUCAAUCCUCAGUCUGCAA
rnacentral:tRNA from 1 species